rnacentral:lncRNA from 1 species
CGCGGCAGGGGGCGCGGUUACCCGUGGUUUUUCGCGUUGGACGACGGGCUCUGAGGGCCAAGUUCUUGUCACGAAUUUAGUUUGUUUCAGAGCGGCAGGACUCGUAGCUAGAGAACGAGGACCCACGACGCGUACGCGUUACAGUCCUGUUUCCCUAGAAACGGAGCUGCCGGCGCGGAGGUGGCUUUGAGAUUCUGCGAAAGACCUGACUGCUCUUCAACAAUUAUUGUGUUGCACCCUCCCAGGCGCCCAGUCCAAACCCCGUCAGAAUAACCACCCGGGACAGCGGUGGUCGAAGUAACUACGCCUAACUUUUCGCUUUCCAUCGUGUCCCCUCCAUAAAAACACUGCUGGGCCCCCGGAAUCCAAAGGCGAAGGAGGCACACUCCCUGCCUUAGACUUGUUGAGAGUUUUAUAGGGGCAGUGCAUAACGUACAUGAUGGUGUAUGACGAUUCGGAUGGUAGUACGAGUCAUAAACUCAAAUUCCAACAGCAUCCAGCCAGGACUUUUAAAAUUCCUUGCAACGCAAGUCUACUGGUGACAAAUUCCCUCAAAUUUUGUUUGCCUGAGAAAGUCUUUCGCCCUCACUGUUGAAGGAUAAUUUCACUGGAUACAGAAUUCUAGAUGGAGUCUUACUCUGUCGGCUCACUGCAACCUCCACCUCCGGAGUUAAAUUGAUUCUCCUGCCUCAGCCUCCCGAGUAGUUGGGAUUACAGGUGACUGACACCAUGCCUGGCUAAUCUUUGUAUUUUUAGUAGAGACAGAGUUUUGCCAUAUUGGCCAGGCUGGUCUUGAAUUGCUGACCUUGGGAUCUCCCCGCCUCGGCCUCCCAAAGUGCCAGGAUUACAGGCCUGAGCCACUGCACCCAGCCAAUAUUUUAUUUUUUCUUGC